rnacentral:rRNA from 1 species
GAUGAACGCUGGCGGCGUGCCUAAUACAUGCAAGUCGAGCGAACAGAUAAGGAGCUUGCUCCUUUGACGUUAGCGGCGGACGGGUGAGUAACACGUGGGUAACCUACCUAUAAGACUGGGAUAACUUCGGGAAACCGGAGCUAAUACCGGAUAACAUUUGGAACCGCAUGGUUCUAAAGUGAAAGAUGGUUUUGCUAUCACUUAUAGAUGGACCCGCGCCGUAUUAGCUAGUUGGUAAGGUAACGGCUUACCAAGGCGACGAUACGUAGCCGACCUGAGAGGGUGAUCGGCCACACUGGAACUGAGACACGGUCCAGACUCCUACGGGAGGCAGCAGUAGGGAAUCUUGCGCAAUGGGCGAAAGCCUGACGGAGCAACGCCGCGUGAGUGAUGAAGGGUUUCGGCUCGUAAAACUCUGUUAUUAGGGAAGAACAAAUGUGUAAGUAACUGUGCACGUCUUGACGGUACCUAAUCAGAAAGCCACGGCUAACUACGUG